rnacentral:lncRNA from 1 species
CCAGGAAGGACAGACAGUUCAUUUGCCCUUGAACUUAGUAAUCACUCAAAGCACUCAAUGAGUAGGAAUUGAUUCGAUCCUGGACUGAGUUACACAUAGAAACUGACUCUCCCUGAUAGUGUCAAUUCUAGUUAUAGUGGGAGCUAGGUGAAGUUGAAAAGUUGGUCAGAUGGUGUUUUGCUGGGGAAAACACUUGAAGGAGCGUUUCGUUAAUGUGGACACAGAUGUGAAAGGUUAAGGCAGACACGUGAAGAAACAUUUUGAUGGAGCAGACACAGGAGAGGAUGUUCUGCUAAAGCAAGCACAUGUAUUGUGCCACCGCAGUUGCUAUCCCGACUCUACCAAACUGGACUGCUGGUGUAUCCGUGAAGUGUUUGAGAGUGGAUGGAGCUGCUGCUGCUGCCUGCUAACCUGUGAACUGAACUGCUGAUUUCCAGACAACUGCUGAUUUUCCAGAUGAGGGAAUGAGAAUAAGCCUGGAGCUCCUUGCAAGCAGGCAGAGUUGCUCUGAUGAAGCUGGCAGCUGCGUUUGCUCAGGGGUCUGAGCCCUACAACAAUCUCCAAGUGUUUGACCUACAUGUCUAUCUGUGCACCGCCCGCACUGAGUGCCGACACCGACAGAAGCCAGCAGAGGAUGUCCGUUACCCUGGACUGGAGUUACAGUUGUGAGCUGCCAUGUAGGUGCUAGAAAUGGAACCCUAAGUCCUCUGCAAGAGCAGUCACUGCUUUCUACUGAGCCAAUUCUCCAGCUCCCUAUUCAUCAAACGUUUACCAAGCACCUAGUCCUUAUGUAUUGGACACAGAGUCAGUUUUGGGGGAGAGUGCUGUGACCUCUUCCCUUGGGGAGCUCCAACCUAUAAGGAAAUACUAUUAUUGUAUUUCCCUAUUAUUUUAUUGUUUUUUAAAAUGUGCAUGUAUCUGUAUAUUCCACAUAUGUGCGGGUGCAGGUGUGUAUGUUUCUGUGUGUACAUGUCACAUGUGUGCAGGUGCCCGUGAAGUUCAGAACAGGGCAUUAGAUCUCUAGAGCUGAAUACGGCAGCUGUGAGCCACCCGAUGUGGGUGCGAGGAACAGAGCUCUGAUGUAAUGCAAGAACCAUAAGCGCUUCCCGCUGAUCACUAUCUCCAGCUUUGUUGUGUUUAUUGUACAGAAAAGAGGUGCAGUGUUGAAAGGUCUUUGAAAGCUAUGGAGUGCUGUGAAAUAUAAUAAACAAUGUGUCUUACGCUU